AAGGAACGCUGGCAGCGUGCAUAACACAUGCAAGUCGAACGGUAGUAUAUCUUCGGGUAUAUUGAGAGUGGCGAACGGGUGAGUAACACGUAAGAAUCUACCUUUGGGACGGGGAUAACUUCUGGAAACGGAUGCUAAUACCCGAUACGCUGUGGAGUGAAAGAAUUUCGCCCAAAGAUGAUCUUGCGUCUGAUUAGCUAGUUGGUAGGGUAAUGGCUUACCAAGGCGACGAUCAGUAGCUGGUCUGAGAGGAUGGACAGCCACAUUGGAACUGAGACACGGUCCAA
rnacentral:rRNA from 1 species